CGUGUAGGCGGUUUUGCAAGUCAGAUGUGAAAUUCCCAGGCUUAACCUGGGCGCUGCACCUGAAACUGCAAGACUUGAGUACUGGAGAGGAUAGUGGAAUUCCUAGUGUAGCGGUAAAAUGCGCAGAUAUUAGGAGGAACACCGGUGGCGAAGGCGACUAUCUGGACAGUAACUGACGCUGAGGCGCGAAAGCGUGGGGAGCAAACAG
rnacentral:rRNA from 1 species